UACAAUAACUUUUUUACAGCAUUUAUUAAUUUUUUAAGACUUACUAUACAAAUACCUUUAUGACAUACUAUAUUAUAACUUUGUUGACAAACUAUGUUGUACUCAACUGUCUAAUCUGAUCUCGAGAGCAAGUAAUGGAUUAACUCAAAUGCAGAAAGCAUAGGAGGCUGCAGAAACUAUGCAAUCAUUUGAUAAAUGCUUCCAAACUUAAAUCAAAUGGAAAAGGCAACACUGAAUGAAGACAAACCAAUAAAGAAUAAAGUAACUGGGCUGGUAUGAAAAAGAAACGAGUAACAGGUAAGUGGGAACAGGUGAGCAGGAGCACAGGCGACCACAGGGAUAACGGGAAAAAGGUCUUUGCUUUCAGAAAAUGUAGUUACAGGCUGAUUAGUGGAUGAUUAGACUCAGGUGUGCAGGGCUGCUUUGAUGAGGCUGAUUGUCUGAAUAUAAAGUCAGACAUGUUCACUACUCAGAGUAUUGUGCUGCUUAGUGGGUCAGGCAGGAAGACAGUUUACAGUCUGAACCAGUUUGCUGUUCUUCAGUGCUAUGAAGACCUCGUGUUUUUUGGUUCUCCUCCUGGUUGGACUGUGUUUCAGGUCAUAUUCUGCUUUUCCUCCCAAAGGUUACACUCAACAUGCUUCAAUUCAAAGUCCUCAGUUCACAAGGAGCUCCCAACACGCUCUGCAAGCAAAGGAUCCAUCUGAGGAACCAGAGCAGGUGAAUACUGUCCGAGUGACCUGCCAUCCAGACUCAUUGGAGAUUAUUAUCCAAGCUGACAUGUUUGAAGUUGGAGCUCCUGUCAAUGGUGAUGAAUUACGCCUUGGAGUGGAGCUCAAUGACUACUGUAGAGCUACAAUAUUUUCAGGAGAUGAGUACAGAAUCCUUGUUGGACUGGUGGACUGCGGCACCAAACAAAAGAUGACUGAAGACACACUGGUCUACACAAACGUGCUCGUAUACUCUCCUGUGGCCUCUCCAGAUGGGGUGGUUCGAAUGGAUGAGGCUGUAAUUCCAAUUGAAUGUCAUUACGAAAGGAAGUACAGUUUGUCCAGUUCUUCCCUCAUGCCCACCUGGAUCCCCUUCAUGUCUAAACAAGCUGCAGAGGAAAUUUUGGAGUUUGACUUGAGCAUUAUGACUAAUGACUGGCUUCAUCGAAGAGGCUCUAAUGUGUUUUACCUCGGCGAUCCCAUCGGCAUCGAAGCCUCAGUCCGAGUUGGACAUCACAUGGGGCUCCGAGUGUUUGUGAGCAGCUGUGUGGCGACACUUUCCCCAGAUGUAUCCUCUGAGCCGAGAUACGUCUUUGUUGAAAAUGGGUGCUUGGUUGACUCUGAGCUUCCAGGUUCUAGGUCACACUUCUUAUCCAGGACACAGGAUGACAAGCUCCACUUGACCAUUGAUGCCUUUAAGUUUCAUAAUGAGGACAGAGAAGAACUCUACAUCACAUGUCACCUGAAUGCUGAACCAGUAAAUGAUGCAGAGGCACCAAAUAAGGCGUGCAGUCUUAUAAAUGGAAGAUGGAGGUCAGCUGAUGGUAAUGACUUUUUAUGUGGCUCUUGUCAAAGUCACAAUAAGCCGAGCAGCCCUGGCAAGUUUGGUCCUCGUAGGUUUGAGAAGCCAGAAGAACCUGAACCGUUUUGGAGUGGACAGAGAACCAAUACAGUGUGGGAAAAGGCGGCACGAGUGGGUCCGAUGAUUGUCUUGCCAGCCAAGCAGACCAGUGGGCCAGUACCUGUGAAGGAGCUUCCUCGUCUGAAUAAAUUCAGCAGACCUUCACUGUUUGGCAGCCAGUGAAUUGGAAUAAAUGACAAAGUUGGUGAGUUGAAGUUGCAUGAUGAAUUUUUUGGCCCAUAUGUUGACUGUUCAAGACCAUUAUUUUUUUGUGCUCAAAGUAAACUGGUCUCUAUUCUAGUUGAGAAGAAACUUCUUCUUGGUUCAUAAUCCACACCAGACAAAGUGGUUGUUCAGGUGGGAUGGUGUGAAGGUCUCUGCCCUUCUAGAAAAGGAAUCUCCCGAGGUGGACGUGGAAUUAAAGGGAGAACCGCUGGAUGAAAACCCCAUGUCAACCCUCGACUGUCCAGUUUACUGUGGAUCUGACUAAUGUUAACUGCAACAGAAAAUGACUAAUCUACUUCUUUUAAAUGUAUAGUUUGCUGUUGAUGCAGUUAUCCUGCAAUGCACAAAUAAAAAUGGACUGUA